UCUGGAAUUGAUACCAAAUGUUAUAUACGCAACGAGCAAGUUUUCUUGAGUCUGGAAUUGAUACCAAAUGUUAUAUACGCAACGAGCAAGUUUUCUUGAGUCUGGAAUUGAUACCAAAUGUUAUAUACGCAACGAGCAAGUUUUCUUGAGUCUGGAAUUGAUACCAAAUGUUAUAUACGCAACGAGCAAGUUUGCUUGAGUCUGGAAUUGAUACCAAAUGUUAUAUACGCAGAGCACGUUUUCUUGAGUCUGGAAUUGAUACCAAAUGUUAUAUACGCAACGAGCAAGUUUGCUUGAGUCUGGAAUUGAUACCAAAUGUUAUAUACGCAACGAGCAAAUUUGAUUGAGUCUGGAAUUGAUACCAAAUGUUAUAUACGCAGAGCAAGUUUGCUUGAGUCUGGAAUUGAUACCAAAUGUUAUAUACGCAGAGCAAGUUUGCUUGAGUCUGGAAUUGAUACCAAAUGUUAUAUACGCAGAGCAAGUUUUCUUGGGUCUGGAAUUGAUACCAAAUGUUAUAUACGCAACGAGCAAGUUUGCUUGAGUCUGGAAUUGAUACCAAAUGUUAUAUACGCAACGAGCAAGUUUUCUUGAGUCUGGAAUUGAUACCAAAUGUUAUAUACGCAACGAGCUAGUUUGCUUGAGUCUGGAAUUGAUACCAAAUGUUAUAUACGCAACGAGCUAGUUUGCUUGAGUCUGGAAUUGAUACCAAAUGUUAUAUACGCAACGAGCAAGUUUGCUUGAGUCUGGAAUUGAUACCAAAUGUUAUAUACGCAACGAGCAAGUUUGCUUGAGUCUGGAAUUGAUACCAAAUGUUAUAUACGCAACGAGCAAGUUUGCUUGAGUCUGGAAUUGAUACCAAAUGUUAUAUACGCAACGAGCUAGUUUGCUUGAGUCUGGAAUUGAUACCAAAUGUUAUAUACGCAACGAGCAAGUUUGCUUGAGUCUGGAAUUGAUACCAAAUGUUAUAUACGCAGAGCACGUUUUCUUGAGUCUGGAAUUGAUACCAAAUGUUAUAUACGCAACGAGCAAGUUUGCUUGAGUCUGGAAUUGAUACCAAAUGUUAUAUACGCAGAGCAAAUUUGCUUGAGUCUGGAAUUGAUACCAAAUGUUAUAUACGCAAAGCAAGUUUGCUUGAGUCUGGAAUUGAUACCAAAUGUUAUAUACGCAAAGCAAGUUUGCUUGAGUCUGGAAUUGAUACCAAAUGUUAUAUACGCAACAAGCAAGUUUGCUUGAGUCUGGAAUUGAUACCAAAUGUUAUAUACGCAACGAGCUAGUUUGCUUGAGUCUGGAAUUGAUACCAAAUGUUAUAUACGCAACGAGCAAGUUUGCUUGAGUCUGGAAUUGAUACCAAAUGUUAUAUACGCAACGAGCAAGUUUGCUUGAGUCUGGAAUUGAUACCAAAUGUUAUAUACGCAGAGCAAAUUUGCUUGAGUCUGGAAUUGAUACCAAAUGUUAUAUACGCAAAGCAAGUUUGCUUGAGUCUGGAAUUGAUACCAAAUGUUAUAUACGCAAAGCAAGUUUGCUUGAGUCUGGAAUUGAUACCAAAUGUUAUAUACGCAACAAGCAAGUUUGCUUGAGUCUGGAAUUGAUACCAAAUGUUAUAUACGCAGAGAAAGUUUGCUUGAGUCUGGAAUUGAUACCAAAUGUUAUAUACGCAACGAGCAAGUUUGCUUGAGUCUGGAAUUGAUACCAAAUGUUAUAUACGCAACGAGCUAGUUUGCUUGAGUCUGGAAUUGAUACCAAAUGUUAUAUACGCAACGAGCAAGUUUGCUUGAGUCUGGAAUUGAUACCAAAUGUUAUAUACGCAACGAGCUAGUUUGCUUGAGUCUGGAAUUGAUACCAAAUGUUAUAUACGCAACGAGCUAGUUUGCUUGAGUCUGGAAUUGAUACCAAAUGUUAUAUACGCAAAGCAAGUUUGCUUGAGUCUGGAAUUGAUACCAAAUGUUAUAUACGCAACGAGCAAGUUUUCUUGAGUCUGGAAUUGAUACCAAAUGUUAUAUACGCAACGAGCAAGUUUGCUUGAGUCUGGAAUUGAUACCAAAUGUUAUAUACGCAGAGCACGUUUUCUUGAGUCUGGAAUUGAUACCAAAUGUUAUAUACGCAACGAGCAAGUUUGCUUGAGUCUGGAAUUGAUACCAAAUGUUAUAUACGCAGCGAGCAAGUUUGCUUGAGUCUGGAAUUGAUACCUAAUGUUAUAUACGCAGAGCAAGUUUUCUUGGGUCUGGAAUUGAUACCAAAUGUUAUAUACGCAACGAGCAAGUUUGCUUGAGUCUGGAAUUGAUACCAAAUGUUAUAUACGCAACGAACAAGUUUGCUUGAGUCUGGAAUUGAUACCAAAUGUUAUAUACGCAACGAGCAAGUUUUCUUGAGUCUGGAAUUGAUACCAAAUGUUAUAUACGCAACGAGCAAGUUUGCUUGAGUCUGGAAUUGAUACCAAAUGUUAUAUACGCAGAGCAAGUUUGCUUGAGUCUGGAAUUGAUACCAAAUGUUAUAUACGCAACGAGCAAGUUUGCUUGAGUCUGGAAUUGAUACCAAAUGUUAUAUACGCAACGAGCUAGUUUGCUUGAGUCUGGAAUUGAUACCAAAUGUUAUAUACGCAACGAGCAAGUUUGCUUGAGUCUGGAAUUGAUACCAAAUGUUAUAUACGCAACGAGCUAGUUUGCUUGAGUCUGGAAUUGAUACCAAAUGUUAUAUACGCAAAGCAAGUUUGCUUGAGUCUGGAAUUGAUACCAAAUGUUAUAUACGCAACGAGCAAGUUUUCUUGAGUCUGGAAUUGAUACCAAAUGUUAUAUACGCAACGAGCAAGUUUGCUUGAGUCUGGAAUUGAUACCAAAUGUUAUAUACGCAGAGCAAGUUUUCUUGAGUCUGGAAUUGAUACCAAAUGUUAUAUACGCAACGAGCAAGUUUGCUUGAGUCUGGAAUUGAUACCAAAUGUUAUAUACGCAGCGAGCAAGUUUGCUUGAGUCUGGAAUUGAUACCAAAUGUUAUAUACGCAGAGCAAGUUUUCUUGAGUCUGGAAUUGAUACCAAAUGUUAUAUACGCAACGAGCAAGUUUGCUUGAGUCUGGAAUUGAUACCAAAUGUUAUAUACGCAGAGCAAGUUUUCUUGAGUCUGGAAUUGAUACCAAAUGUUAUAUACGCGAGUUGCUCAAGUAGGGUAAAGAUUGUACAAAGUACGCAGGGUGUUACCUUGAUUUUAUUACUAGCUGUCGUUGGUCGACCUCUCAUCUCAGCUUUCACGUCAUCUGGGAACAGCGUCCGGAUGAACGGGCUGCAGACGAUACACAAGGCUGAUUAGAAGUGAUUUAAGCCAUGCAUUACAAGUGAACCAUGCAACGCUGAUAAUAAGUGAAACAUGCAACUGAUUAACAGUGAUUUAAAGCACGUGCAAUAUGUAAUGUGAGCAAUCACGAGGAGAAAGACUCGACCACUCACAUGUCACUACUCUGCAUCAGCUCUAUAAGAUCCUUGAAAAGAACGUCACGAUUUCGCUCACAAAAGCCAUCAAUGUCGUAGCUGACCUGUAGAACAAAACAUAACAACCAUUGUCACGAUCAUCACCAUCAUGAAUCAUUACCAUUUUUUUCGUCAUCAUUUGACCAAUUAUUGCAUCUACAUCAUCAUCAUUAUUCACAACUCAAACAAAGAUCAGCAGAGUAAUCAUUUCAUCUUUUUACCUUUCCCGCGUAAUGAUGGAUGAUGAAUCCACCGCUAACACCUUGGAAAUGCUGGUGGCUGCCUACCGAGUUGUUCAGUUUCUGUAGACAGUGAAAAUAGGAAUGUCUAAGCACCAGGAUUUGUUUGUAGAGAACACACAUCACAUAUCAUUCCCAAUAAUUUUCAAAGUCUGGGUAGAUUUUUACCUAAAUCCAAAAGACUGGUAUAUAGGUACAUAGGUAAACAAGACUUGUUAAAUAAAGGUUUAAAGAUAAACGAUUUAAACUAUAUUCAAUAAUCAUUUUCGCACACUGCACCUCUAAUAAUGUUGUAUCCGCCCCUUCUCCGACAGCGUGCAUUGUGGCACAAACAUCGUCGACCACACACAUAAUACCUGGCGGUCGCUAAACAGAACAACGAAAUCAACAACAAUAAGGAAAAGAGUGGAAUCUACGAUGAAGCUUAAUUAAAAUUCAGCAGAUGAGUCGGUUAUGCUAACGACAGGUAUCUUGCGCGAGUUGGAUGUUUGGGCCAUGAGUAAUACAGUAGCAGGUGGCCCUCCGCGUCUACUCGUGUUCCCAUGGUAACGCAUGAUAUUCUUAUGAGCACAUUUUUCUUCACUAAAAUCCAGUUAGGUGUAUAAUGAGAAAUGAAAUGGUAUUGCAAAUUUCAACAGCAAAUAAGUGCUUGUAAAAUGCGCCAGUGUUUUUAUGUAUCCACUACUGAAAUAAACAUUUUACUAUUUCA